CCCUAGCCCUGAUAGCAGUGGAAAUCCUUUUAUCCUGAACUUGUUUCAGGAUCCUGAAACAAGUUCAGGAUAAAAGAUUGAAACGAAUAGCAGGAUUAAGC
rnacentral:sRNA from 1 species